UGGGGAAUAUUGGGCAAUGGGCGCAAGCCUGACCCAGCCACGCCGCGUGAGUGAUGAAGGCCUUCGGGUCGUAAAGCUCUGUGGGGAGGGGCGAACAACUCUGCAUUUAAUACAUGCGGAGCCUGACGGUACCUCCUUAGCAAGCACCGGCUAACCCUGUGCCAGCAGCCGCGGUAAUACAGGGGGUGCAAACGUUGCUCGGAAUCAUUGGGCGUAAAGCGCGCGUAGGCGGUGCCCUAAGUUGGAUGU
rnacentral:rRNA from 1 species